rnacentral:lncRNA from 1 species
UUGAUGGGGCAUGUCUGUUAUGCUUGCGUAUGGCUACAAUUAUUCCUUUUUUUUUUUUUGCAUAGUUGGUGAAUUAUUCUGGUUGUCAGGAUAUGUAAUGCGGCUGAUGUUACGAUAUUAGGUUUUAGUUUGAGGCUGACAAUCUUUAUUUCGGUGGUUUGUGAUUAUGUGCGGGUAUUGGAGAUGGUCCGAUGGACUUGAUGGUUUAAAGGACCUUAAUUUAUGUUAAGGAACUAUAAAUUUGAGUUUGGUAACUCAUCUUGGUGGGUAUAUUUUAUUUGUUAGUUUUUGGACUUGAUGUUGGUUUUGGUUCUUGUUUGUUGGGUUGAGAGAAUAGUUGAGUCCAGAGUUUCUCAGUCAACUCUUAUUGAGGUGUGAGUUACUAUGUUGCUGUAUAGAGCUGUUUUUAGUAGGACAAGUAGGUUGCGUGAACAAACAGAAGGAAUGUAGAUAUUUUGGUAGGAAGUGUGCUAUUUUCUUUUUGAAAACGUACUCAUAAGUAAAUAUUGUUAAUGAAAACGUCUCAUAAGAUAAAGAACCGAAUAUAAGAGACUCGAUAUCUGAAUGGAAACCCAAUUAAAACUGACAUGUCACGAUCUAAAGAGAAAAAGUAACAAAUUAAUUUAACACAAAAUUUAAAAUCAAAUAACUAAUAAUAUUUUACUUAGUUUAAAUUCUCAAAUCCA